GAUGAACGCUGGCGGCGUGCCUAAUACAUGCAAGUCGAGCGAACAGAUGAGGAGCUUGCUCCUCUGACGUUAGCGGCGGACGGGUGAGUAACACGUGGAUAACCUACCUAUAAGACUGGGAUAACUUCGGGAAACCGGAGCUAAUACCGGAUAAUAUAUUGAACCGCAUGGUUCAAUAGUGAAAGACGGUUUUGCUGUCACUUAUAGAUGGAUCCGCGCCGCAUUAGCUAGUUGGUAAGGUAACGGCUUACCAAGGCAACGAUGCGUAGCCGACCUGAGAGGGUGAUCGGCCACACUGGAACUGAGACACGGUCCAGACUCCUACGGGAGGCAGCAGUAGGGAAUCUUCCGCAAAGGGAGAAAGCCUGACGGAGCAACGCCGCGUGAGUGAUGAAGGUCUUCGGAUCGUAAAACUCUGUUAUUAGGGAAGAACAAAUGUGUAAGUAACUAUGCACGUCUUGACGGUACCUAAUCAGAAAGCCACGGCUAACUACGUG
rnacentral:rRNA from 1 species